rnacentral:rRNA from 1 species
UACGUAGGGUACGAGCGUUGUCCGGAAUUAUUGGGCGUAAAGGGCUCGUAGGCGGUCUGUUGCGUCGGGAGUGAAAACUCAGGGCUUAACCCUGAGCCUGCUUCCGAUACGGGCAGACUAGAGGUAUGCAGGGGAGAACGGAAUUCCUGGUGUAGCGGUGAAAUGCGCAGAUAUCAGGAGGAACACCGGUGGCGAAGGCGGUUCUCUGGGCAUUACCUGACGCUGAGGAGCGAAAGUGUGGGGAGCGAACAGG